rnacentral:rRNA from 1 species
GACGAACGCUGGCGGCGUGCCUAACACAUGCAAGUCGAGCGAAGUGAGUACUACGGUACGAACUUAGCGGCGGACGGGUGAGUAACGCGUGGACAAUCUACCCUGUAGACUGGGAUAACACCUCGAAAGGGGUGCUAAUACCGGAUAAUGUCGAGAAGCGGCAUCGCUUUUCGAAGAAAGGAGAGAAUCCGCUAUAGGAGGAGUCCGCGUCCCAUUAGCUAGUUGGUGAGGGUAACGGCCCACCAAGGCGACGAUGGGUAGCCGGCCUGAGAGGGUGAACGACCACACUGGAACUGAGACACGGUCCAGACUCCUACGGGAGGCAGCAGUGGGGAAUAUUGUGCAAUGGGGGAAACCCAGACACAGCAACGCCGCGUGAGCGAAGAAGGCCUUCGGGUUGUAAAGCUCAAUAGUAUGGGAAGAUAAUGACGGUACCAUACGAAAGCCCCGGCUAACUACGUGCCAGCCGCCGCCGUAAAAC